UUUAAAGCACAACAUAUAUGUUUGAACCAGGUCAGAAUCGGAAGAUAGCAGCCUUAAGAACCUCUAUAUGUGUGUGCUUUUUAUUA
rnacentral:SRP_RNA from 1 species